UACGUAGGGCGCGAGCGUUAUCCGGAAUUAUUGGGCGUAAAGAGCUCGUAGGCGGUUUGUCACGUCUGCUGUGAAAGCCCAGGGCUCAACCCCGGGUGUGCAGUGGGUACGGGCAGACUAGAGUGCAGUAGGGGAGACUGGAAUUCCUGGUGUAGCGGUGAAAUGCGCAGAUAUCAGGAGGAACACCGAUGGCGAAGGCAGGUCUCUGGGCUGUUACUGACGCUGAGGAGCGAAAGCAUGGGGAACGAACAGG
rnacentral:rRNA from 1 species